rnacentral:rRNA from 1 species
AUGGCCUCCUCCCCCUCCUCCUCCUCCACCAUGCCCCCCGCCGCCUCCUCCUCCAUCUCCAUGUCCUCCGCCGCCGCCUCCUCCUCGCGGCCCCCCGCCGACGCAGCGCUCGCGCCGAGCCUCGACUACGACACGGCCUUUCCGGUUCUCGGGAGUUCGCCGUCGCGUCCUCCCAGGGGCGGGAGAGCUGCGCCGCCGCCGCGUCCUCCGGGGAGGAGCGAGGACCGUCUGAGAGGAGGGAAGACGCCCAGCUACACGUUCGACAGCGACACCGUCGGCAUGUCGCUUGGUUCGCUCUACGGGCGCGCGGACGAUGCCGCAGCAGAGACGACUGCGGCCACGGCCGAGGCGGCGCCGGCGACGACCUCUUCCGCGCCUGCCACGAAGACCUCGGUGGGGACGAGCUCCGCGCGUCCAUCGACCUUCGCCGCAGCGGCGGUGGUUCUCUCAGGGGCUCCCGCCCUGCUGCCUGCUGUGCAGGUGUUCGGCGACUACCGCUUCGGGUAUACGAUGGGCGACUUCUUCCAGGACCUCGGGUUGCUGCCGGACCUCCGGCAGCAUCUCCAGGUCGUCAACGAGCCGAGGCAUCGGCCGCCGCUCCAGUUUCAGGUCCAGCCGCCGCUCAGGCCCCCCGCUACUUCAACGCGCCUCCGCCCCAGUUCGUGCCGCCGAGCUUCGGGCAGCAGUUCCAGGUCUCCGCUCGCCCGCUACACCAAGGGGAUGCAGUUCUCGGCGCCGCCCCAGUUCGCGUCGAGCCCUCCGGUGUUCAUACGGGUUCAGUUCGAGCAUCAGCAGGGGUCCUUCACGGGUUUCGUCAGGGUACAGGACAGGUACAGGACAGUCGGGGGGCCGAAGGCGGCGAGCGACGUGUUGUUGGCGCGUGGGAGGUUCGGGGGCGGGGUGGCGAUCCGACUCAGGGUGGCCACCAACAUUGGGGCCACGUACUGGUUCCUAGGGCUCAAGGACUGGGUCGGUGAGCUCAUGGGUGCACCGCCACGGUAUCGCCCCACGGAGUCGUGGAGCUGGCUAGAUAUUAUGGGAUGUCCAAUCCCCCAGGACAUGAAGGACACGUGCAGUCAGAGCGCCUGCCUGAUGUGCUUGGAGGCCCAGCACCGGCUGGCGUACGAGCGGAGGCACGGCAGUGAUACGUUCCCGUACCACAUCCCAGCUUCCACGGCCAAGGACUUGGUGACGAGAUGCAAGGCUGCCCGCGUCUGGAACCGCAAGGACGGCGCCACCAUUGACAACCAAAGUUUUAAAUAGCGCGCUAAGCAUCUUAGCGCCGGACCUCUUUCAAAUGCUAUAGCGUGCUAUAGCGGAGCUAUAGCGCGCUAUUUAAAAUGUUUGUUCAUUUGUUUGGACCAAAGUCUCUUAGCGCAAGGCCUUUUGUAAACGCUAUAGCGUGCUAUAGCGGAGCUAUAGCGGGCUAUUUGAAACAGUGUUGACAACGUGCUGAAGCAAAUCCAGCGGGCCGGCGGGGCGGAGGCUUGGCCAGACCAGGACGGCUCGGGGCGGCGGUGCAACCUCCAGGUCAAGUCAUGGGAAUCCUGGUCGUCCAAGCGGCUGCCCUCGGCCUCCAGCCUCGCGCGUAUGAUCCGCACUGAGGGGCCGCUCAUCGGUUGUUUGGUCGUCGGAGAGGAUUACUACGCCGAUGGCUGGGAGAAGCGAGUAUACAGGGGAGGCUCGGGAAAGAAGGCAGGGCCUCACGCCGUGGUCUGCACGGGAUACCGGUACGAGCAGGGCGAGGAGAAGAUAGAGGUGGUGGAGAACCACUAUUGGGAUGGGCCUGCCCAGUGGAUUUACAGGACGGCCUUCACGGACUUUACCCAGAUCAAGGUUGAGCCUCUCGACGCCUCCCCUCUCUUUAUCGGGAAGGAGGUGAGCUGGUGGCGCCGCCUUGAGCGCAGGCUUUGGAGGGAAGAGACGUGCUGGUGGCUCCGCCGCCGUGAUAUUAGCGAGCAAUGGAACAAGACCUUGGCUCUUCACAUGAAGCGCUAG